rnacentral:rRNA from 1 species
AACGAACGCUGGCGGCAUGCCUAACACAUGCAAGUCGAACGAGACCUUCGGGUCUAGUGGCGCACGGGUGCGUAACGCGUGGGAACCUGCCCUUAGGUUCGGAAUAACUCCCCGAAAGGGGUGCUAAUACCGGAUAAUGUCUUCGGACCAAAGAUUUAUCGCCUUUGGAUGGGCCCGCGUUGGAUUAGCUAGUUGGUAGGGUAAAAGCCUACCAAGGCGACGAUCCAUAGCUGGUCUGAGAGGAUGAUCAGCCACACUGGGACUGAGACACGGCCCAGACUCCUACGGGAGGCAGCAGUGGGGAAUAUUGGACAAUGGGCGAAAGCCUGAUCCAGCAAUGACGCGUGAGUGAUGAAGGCCUUAGGGUUGUAAAGCUCUUUUACCCGGGAUGAUAAUGACAGUACCGGGAGAAUAAGCUCCGGCUAAAUCCGUG